GUUUGGGUGCUACGAAAGAGAACCUGCAACACGAGGUGCUGCAUGGCUGUCGUCAGCUCGUGUCGUGAGAUUGGUUGGGUUAAGUCCCGCAACGAGCGCAACCCUUGCCAUUAGUUGCUACGAAAGGGCACUCUAAUGGGACUGCCGGUGACAAACCGGAGGAAGGUGGGGAUGACGUCAAGUCCUCAUGGCCCUUAUAGGUGGGGCUACACACGUCAUACAAUGGCCGGUACAGAGGGUAGCCAACCCGCGAGGGGGAGCCAAUCCCACAAAGCCGGUCGUAGUCCGGAUCGCAGUCUGCAACUCGACUGCGUGAAGUCGGAAUCGCUAGUAAUCGCGGAUCAGCAUGUCGCGGUGAAUACGUUCCCGGGUCUU
rnacentral:rRNA from 1 species